GCCACCUUAGCUCAGUUGGCUUAGAGCGGCGCUCUUGUAAAGCGCAGGUCCUCGGUUCGAUCCCGAGAGGUGGCU
rnacentral:tRNA from 1 species